rnacentral:rRNA from 1 species
AACGCUAGCUACAGGCUUAACACAUGCAAGUCGAGGGGCAGCAUGGUCUUAGCUUGCUAAGGCCGAUGGCGACCGGCGCACGGGUGAGUAACACGUAUCCAACCUGCCGUCUACUCUUGGACAGCCUUCUGAAAGGAAGAUUAAUACAAGAUGGCAUCAUGAGUCCGCAUGUUCACAUGAUUAAAGGUAUUCCGGUAGACGAUGGGGAUGCGUUCCAUUAGAUAGUAGGCGGGGUAACGGCCCACCAAGGCGACGAUCAGUAGGGGUUCUGAGAGGAAGGUCCCCCACAUUGGAACUGAGACACGGUCCAAACUCCUACGGGAGGCAGCAGUGAGGAAUAUUGGUCAAUGGGCGAGAGCCUGAACCAGCCAAGUAGCGUGCAGGAUGACGGCCCUAUGGGUUGUAAACUUCUUUUAUAAAGGAAUAAAGUCGGGUAUGCAUACCCGUUUGCAUGUACUUUAUGAAUAAGGAUCGGCUAACUCCGUGCCAGCAGCCGCGGUAAUACGGAGGAUCCGAGCGUUAUCCGGAUUUAUUGGGUUUAAAGGGAGCGUAGAUGGAUGUUUAAGUCAGUUGUGAAAGUUUGCGGCUCAACCGUAAAAUUGCAGUUGAUACUGGAUGUCUUGAGUGCAGUUGAGGCAGGCGGAAUUCGUGGUGCAGCGGUGAAAUGCUUAGAUAUCACGAAGAACUCCGAUUG